rnacentral:rRNA from 1 species
UAUUGGUCAAUGGGCGGGAGCCUGAACCAGCCAAGUCGCGCGAGGGAAGACGGUCCUACGGAUUGUAAACCUCUUUUGCCGGGGAGCAACGGGGUCCUUGCGAGGGCACAAUGCGAGUACCCGGAGAACAAGCAUCGGCUAACUCCGUGCACGCGGCCGCGGUAAUACGGAGGAGGCGAGCGUUAUCCGGAUUUAUUGGGUUUAAAGGGUGCGUAGGCGGGCUGUUAAGUCAGCGGUCAAAUGUCGGAGCUCAACCCCGGCCUGCCGUUGAAACUGGCGGCCUCGAGUGGGCGAGAAGUAUGCGGAAUGCGUGGUGUAGCGGUGAAAUGCAUAGAUAUCACGCAGAACUCCGAUUGCGAAGGCAGCAUACCGGCGCCCUACUGACGCUGAGGCACGAAAGCGUGGGUAUCGAACAGG